rnacentral:rRNA from 1 species
UACGUAGGGUGCGAGCGUUGUCCGGAAUUAUUGGGCGUAAAGAGCUCGUAGGCGGUGUGUCGCGUCGGCCGUGAAAACCUACAGCUUAACUGUGGGCGUGCGGUCGAUACGGGCAUCACUGGAGUUCGGCAGGGGAGACUGGAAUUCCUGGUGUAGCGGUGAAAUGCGCAGAUAUCAGGAGGAACACCGGUGGCGAAGGCGGGUCUCUGGGCCGAUACUGACGCUGAGGAGCGAAAGCGUGGGGAGCGAACAGG